rnacentral:rRNA from 1 species
CCCGGGUCUUGUACACACCGCCCGUCACACCACGAGAGUUUGUAACACCCGAAGCCGGUGGAGUAACCAUUUAUGGAGCUAGCCGUCGAAGGUGGGACAAAUGAUUGGGGUGAAGUCGUAACAAGGUAGCCGUAUCGGAAGGUGCGGCUGGAUCACCUCCUUU